AGUAUUAAACACUACUUGUUUAGUUAUGUUUAAGAGAAGUUUUUAGUGUUAUUUUUUCAUAUAAAUCACAGUGUCAAAUGCCUGUGUGGUAAAACUAAAGAUCAUGUUUCUCCAGGGAUCAAAUCAGAUUUGUUAGUUAAUCAUAUGGAUCUAUUAUAGAUAUAAUAGAUCCAUAUCAAUCAUAUAUAGAUGGAUCUUCUUUUCAUUUAAAUCAAUUUAAAGUAGACUUUAUUGAUACCUUUAUUAUGUUAUGAUACAGUAUAAGCAUGCUAGUAAAAUAAUUUGAAAUCUACAUGAAGUAGGUAUAUAAACUAUAAAAUACACCGUUUUACUAUCGUCAAUCUUUUAUUGAAAUCAAUUUGGUCCGUGGUCCUGAAAUAUUUAUCAAUAUGAGAUAAUUGUGAAUUAGGUAGUUUGUUUCUCUAGCAUAAUCAAUUUGAAAUCAAAGGAAAAAUAUAUUAUUUUAUAUUUAUAUUAUUAUUUUUCAGAAUGUUGUACAAAAGAUGUUCCAUGAUUUCUAUCGUGGUGUGGCUGCUUCUAUUGCCUAAAGUCGCCACUGGGCCAAAAACAGUUCCAGCAGGGUGAGUUAUACAGAGGGAAAUGGUGAUCGGUCUAUACCAGUUGAGCAUUCGUGUAACCGCUUGCCUUAUAUCCUGAAAGAUACGGAACUACGAUUUAGUUACAGUGCUGAUCAUUUGAUGGAACGCAAAUGUGUUGUAACUAUUUCAGCACAUGAUAAAGUGUGCGUCAGUUUCGUGGAGUAUUAUCUUGAUUGUGAAACUGACAUUAUUCUUGCAGAAAGUAUCAAGUCUGUUGAGAAAAAGACUUACAGGUGUGACACUAAACAUUCGGCAGACUUCUGUUCCUCUAAACCAACCCUGCAAAUAAUUUUUACAACGGAAGAAAGAUCUGCACAAAGACGGAUUUGGAUAUGCUGAACUGAGGGUUUAUGGCAC